rnacentral:rRNA from 1 species
ACUCAAAUGAAUUGACGGGGGCCCGCACAAGCGGUGGAUCAUGUGGUUUAAUUCGAAGCAACGCGCAGAACCUUACCUGGGUUUGACAUCUCUGGACCGCCGUAGAAAUACGGUUUUAGUAGCAAUACUACCAGAUGACAGGUGCUGCAUGGCUGUCGUCAGCUCGUGUGGUGACAUGUUGGGUUAAGUCCCGCAACGAGCGCAACCCCUGUCCUUAGUUGCCAGCAUUCAGUUGGGCUCUCUAAGGAGACUGCCGUGGUUAACACGGAGGAAGGUGGGGAUGACGUCAAGUCCUCAUGGCCUUUAUAUCCAGGGCGACACACGUGAUACAAUGGUUGGUACAAAGGGAUGCGAACCCGCGAGGGGGAGCUAAUCUCAAAAAGCCAAUCUCAGUUCGGAUUGGAGUCUGCAACUCGACUCCAUGAAGUUGGAAUCGCUAGUAAUCGCGGAUCAGCACGCCGCGGUGAAUACGUUCCCGGGCCUUGUACACACCGCCCGU